GAGAAAUAAACAAAGCAAGUUGUUUCUACAAAUUUGUUUCAUCACAAAUUUAGUUUUUUAUUAGGAGCAGUUGUUGUUGUUGCAUUAUAUUGCUCUCACGGGGACACAGAAAUUGUUGAGUUCUGAUCAGUGCAUAUAGUGCUCAAAUAUAUUCUUGACAAAAGAUCAAGUUAUACGGUAAUUGAUUCUUUUGACUUCACAUGUCAUUUGGAACAGUCAAUCACUAUGUGCAGGACUUAUUCCUUUCCAGUCAAAACUUGCUUAGAAAUGGAGUACAUUACACUCAACCUCAUGAUUAUAUACUAAAAAUAAAAGCUCAAUCAUUCAUUACUAUUUUUCUGUUAUUCUUCUUGAAAACUUUUACAUACUAGCUUUACAGGAGUUUGCUGAGAGGAAGGACAAUGGGAAGAUGGCUGAAGGAUCAAAAAGAGAGGAAAAAGCAGGAAAUUAGGAUUCAUAAUGCUCAGUUGCAUGCUGUAGUAUCCGUGGCAGGCGUAGCUGCUGCCGUUGCGGCUAUUGCAGCUUUAAUAGAGUGUACAUUGUAGAAUCAAUAGAGUGUACAUAGCUGCCAUAAAGUUCUACACUUACCAUAUGAGUGGUCUCUAGCUUAGCUUGCAUUGUUCAAGAAAUUUUAGAAAAUUCUAAGGAUGCUACUCUACUAAUGUUUCUGAGACAUGGAUGUAAUUUUCACUCCAUAUGGAUGUAUAACUGUAUAUUAUUGAAUAAGUAGAGUUAUAUGCAAAGAAAUAUUAUAUAGAUAAUCUAUUUUU